CAGUGCAGUCACCCAUAAAGUAGAAAGCACUACUAACAGCACUGGAGGGUGUAGUGUUUCCUACUUUAUGGAUGAGUGUACUGU
rfam:Equus caballus chromosome 11, whole genome shotgun sequence.